AGAGAAUACAAUUUGCCCUUGACGUUUGAGCGAAAUUCCACUCAAUGCAGCAAAAGAUCAUACGAUUGUCCCGUUAAAGCUCUUAAACGUCAUCAGAUCUUCGAUCUUUAUGUUCGGUACAGCCUAGCUUCACUGGGAUGAGUUUUGCUAGAGUUAUUAGCAAAAAGUCGAUCGACAAAACCAGACGUGAUUGUGGCAAGUCUUAUAUAUGUAGAUAUAGCCUACACAAAACUUACAUAAUCCCUCGUGGCGAAGUUUUCUUGCAAGCCAUAAAUUCAAAGGAAUCUGUGUUGAUCUGUGCUAGUGCCUAGUGAAAACAAUAAUCAACCAAGGUAUACCUGCCGUGAGCUAGGAACGUGACCAGUAUAAUUUAUGCGAAUUAAGUUUAUAGUACAGAAGUCAGGAGCCCUAUCUUUCUUAGCAGCCUAAGUGCGCAUAAGUGCAUAUACGGGGUGCUCUACGAGAGGCGUAUCACCGAAGUGAUCCCCCAAUCUACAAGGGGUAGAAUUCGAUUCCCCCCUCUUCUGCACCGAAACGCCGAGCCCCGAAAACCUCUGACUUGGGUCAACAUUAGUGAGGCGUAGCAACCCUUAGGAAGCUCAGCGCGUAAGGCGGCGCCUCGGAACCUUUCACCAGCGCCACUGAGACCACCAGUUUGUCGCGCACUUUAGUGCUUAUGUAAGCGGCAGAUCGACAUCAAGCCGGAUGUUCCACAUUUUAGCCCAGUGUCCAGAGCUAGAACAUUGGGCGUGAUUUUGACGGACCUGACUAUAGAGGAGCCACCGCCAACAGCAAGACAGAUGUCCGGAGUUAUGCUGUGUUAAUUUGCACAUUUUCUGGGACUAAGUUCAAUAUGCCAUUUUAAGGCCAAUUCUCUGGCGGUUAAGUAUAUAUAUAUUCAAGCAUCGGGAAUCAUGAGUGUUUGUAGAAAAGAGUGGGUAGGAAAUAAUGAAUUGAAAUUAUCAAAUCGUACUUGCAGUUACGCUCGUGUGCAUAUAUUGUUAAAACCUUAUAUUUUUCCCCAGAUACCAGCACCUACGUCAUCCUUGAGCUCAACGAUUACGAAAGGAGUAAGGGUGUUAAAAUACCAAAACCAAAAGAAAACUGUGAGUUUGUAAACUUAAAACCAUAUAUGCACAGAGUAUAACCGUAACCUGCGUGUUACUAAAUAUUUAAUCAUAACCGUAAUGGGUUGAUACCUCUCGCCGCCCUUUAUUCUAUUAACCAAAUCUGAUUCUUAGUCCGUAUACUUACUGCCGCCACUAUAUUCAUAUAUAAAUUAUUGAAGUCUUAAAUUCUUAUAAGCUAAAAUAAGUAUACAUUUUAAGUGGGCUAGAUCGCCGUAAUAUGAAUUCCUCUGUAGGUUAAGACAAUUUGGAAGAUAUUGAAUUAUAAUAAUAGGAAGUCAUGGAAAUACAAAAACAAAGGCUUCUUUGUUUUGAAACGCAGAUUUAAUAUGUUCUAAAUUCUAACGUCCGUCCUCACACAAGCAAGGUCGAAGUGGUAGGAUGAAAACUGCCUGAUUGUUCUAGGGUCUAUACGGUUCAAUUUACCAGUAUAGCAUAGGUUGGGAGGGUAGAGAAGAGGGAUUCUCGACGACACCUGAGUUUCUCGUGACUUGAAUAGAGUAAUUGAUAUCAUCAUCCCCCUUUUUCUCAACAACAAAUAAUUAAUCCACUUUCCAUACAUUCAGUCCAGUUUAACCUGUGUUCUGCUUUUCAUUUUUGAUUCUUUUAAAUGUGCACCUAAAACAUUAUGCGAGUGUGUGUCAGUACAUAAUGUAGGAGAGAGUAGAACGAACACCGACAAUCCGGCGAGCUUAGCUAGAGCAUAGCUAGAGGUGCACACGAAAUCUCUUUGUACUAGUUUGGGUAAAAAUACAUCUAUCCCACACCUGCACGCUACAUAUUCUUGAUCAGCAUCAAUAGCCGAGUCGAUAGAUCCAUGUCUGUCUGUCCGUCUGUCCGUCGUGUUUGUCGGCUAGUACUCAGAGACUAUAAGAGCUAGAGCUCACACUGAAAAAAAUGUGUAUUUCAAAAAUAAGCCACGCCCCCUUUCGCCCCCGCAAAAGGGCGAAAACCUACCAAAUCUACAGUUUUGAAGAUACAAGAAAACUAAAAACGCCAUUCCGUAGGAAAUUGCCAUAUCUAUCAGAUCACCAAAUCCGAUCGGAUCAUUAUUAUAGCCACAAUGGAGAAAUUAAUUUCCGGUGGCUAAACCCACCCUGUCCGGCAGCUUUUAUUGCUAUUUUUACAUUCUCUCAUUUAUACUCUGCUUCUGCUUCACUCGGCCGCUGCCUCUGGCCGCCCCCUGCUAAUUUUUAAAAGUUAAAACCAAGACUCGGUUUUUAACGCUCUGUAUUAGAAAAAGAGUGACCAUCAAAGUUGCUUACCAGACAUUUUUAUAGAUGGCGCCUUUUUCGAAAAAUCUACUGUGAAACCUAGCGGCCAUUAUUGCACAGAAUGUGCAGGGAAAAAGUACCAAUUUUAUUUCUGUUUUAAAUAUCUCAUAAAUUGGAAAAUACGAUUAACUGAUCCAAUUUUUUUGAUGAAUUUUAUUUAGUAGGCUUUUUACUACGUGUUCUGUAAUGUGAACGAUACCUAGUGGUUGGCGAUGUCUCUACAUCUCGAUGUAGUCCUGAGUGCCGGGUCACACGUCCCUUCUCGUUUUUUUUAAAUUUUGUAGUUUAAAAGCUCAGAAAAAGUCGAAAAAAACAAUGUCCUCUAUUUUUGUAUGUACAGGUGCAUUAAUUGGGCGUCGUCAAAAUAUAUGGAGAGACGGUUGUGAUUAAAUUCCUAACGAAAAAGUCGUGUCGAGUAGUGUUAACUUUAAACUAUUAGCAGAGUAAACUUUUGCCUAAAAACAUAAUUAACGCUUCUACAUAAAGAAAUAACAAC
rnacentral:lncRNA from 1 species